UAAUUGUUUGGGUCAUGAAACAAGCAGCUUGCCCAAGGUGUACCUUGCCUCUGGCACUAUUACCCACCGACCGCUCCCAACUCGACACUCCUCCAUAAGAAACCGGCCAUAUAAUGUCAUGACGGACUGCGCGUUUGUUCUCUUCUGUAUGUUCUGCGCACUUUCGCUUUCUCCCUGAAGCUUAGCCGUUGUUUUUGAACGCUUAAUUUUCAAGAAACGGCAGAUGUUUACUUUCCAAUGCGUCUUGAACUAUUCAGCCUACGGUGCGCUGUGACGGAGACUCUCCGAACUUCGUCUUAUACCGCUGACGGCUGUACACCUUAAACAAGCUGCAGGUGCAACAGGAAGUGAAGACUUUGUCAAAGAACAUCUGCAGAUGUUCUCCUGCUGUUUUAGCUCAUACAGCUCAUCUCCUUGCAAAUCUCAGUGAGACGGUCUUCAGUUCAGGAAAGUCUUCAUUCUGCUGUAUAAAAUGACUUCAAGAGGAAAUUCUUUGACAGCUGCAGUGUUGCUGUUAAUCAUGAUGCAAGUCUUCAGUGUCCUCACUCUCUCGUGUUCUUCAACAAUGUAUCAAGCACAAGACCUAUGCUGUCAAAAGUGUCCUGCAGGAAAUCGAGUCAAGACAGAUUGCACAGAGACUGUACACACUUCCUGUGUGGCCUGCGAGGAUGGAACCCACAUGGAUAAGCCCAGUGGACUCAAACAAUGCACUCACUGCACAAUCUGUGACCUAAGUUUUGGUCUGAAGGAGAACAGGACAUGCACAUCAACAUUAGAUACAGUUUGUAAACCAGAGGAUGGAUUCUACUGUGUUGACGUCGCAGCUGGUAGCUGCAUGGCAGCACACAAACACAGGCAAUGUCAACCAGGAGAAUACAUCAGCCAAACAGGAACAGCCUUCAGAGACACUGAGUGCUCUGACUGCAGCAAUGGGACAUUUUCAGAUGGGACUUUAAAGUUUUGUCGGCCACACAGACCGUA